rnacentral:rRNA from 1 species
CGCGUAGGCGGAUUGUUAAGUCGGGGGUGAAAUCCCGGGGCUCAACCCCGGAACUGCCUCCGAUACUGGCAGUCUAGAGUUCGAGAGAGGCGAGUGGAAUUCCGAGUGUAGAGGUGAAAUUCGUAGAUAUUCGGAGGAACACCAGUGGCGAAGGCGGCUCACUGGCUCGAUACUGACGCUGAGGCGCGAAAGCGUGGGGAGCAAACAGGAUUAGAUACCCUGGUAGUCC